CAACUUUCUACGCGUCGAGUUCCUUCUUCGUCCUGCCACAGGAUUGGGUCGUUAGCUGUCGUUCCUGCUUUGCCACGAGUCAUUAAAUUCUGAUUGGUUGAAGGUAACGUUCGAAUUCCUUGGGUUCGCAGCAAACAAUUGAUUCUAGUUAGAACUAGUUUCGCGAAGAUUUGGGUUCGUUCUUCGUAGACUUCAACGUGGUUAAGGAGCUUAACUAACUUGAAAGUAAAGGUAAUAAAGGUGGCAAACCGGCGAGGGGCAGGAAGGAAGCGUGAUUGCCA